UGGAAUGGAGAGUAAUGAUUUUAUUGGUUUAAGAUUAAUACAAAGUCUUGAUCACAGGCUCAUUGCAUCAUUCAAAUCAAGUUACAGCAGACCCUUCCACUGACAGCUGAUACAUAUAUAUAUAUAUAUAUAUAUAUAUAUAUAUAUAUAUAUAUAUUAUACACACACACACACACACAUAUAACUAUAAAAAUUAUUGCUUGAGGAACCUGUCCAUCCAAACACAUGCUUCUUUCACCAUUAACGGUGUGAAUUGGUGGCCUAUUCCAGGUUGUGCGAUGAGCUGCGUAUUCAGGAAACAAAACACAUGAAUAUACUAACUCGUGAUAGUGCCAUUUCCCUUUUUCCCGUGUGUGGACGCAACUCCAGGAUUUGGCAUGGGCGUGUGUGACUGUGUUAGAGGGCAUUAAACGGUCCCAAAUUCGCUACAGAAAAGAAGUGGGUGCUGCCAUUCAAUUUUUUAGCAUACAACAAUUACCUACUUGAGUAGACAUCUUGAACCAUACGUGCUUUAAGGGUCAAUACAGGAACUGAUGUAAGUACUUUCAGAGUAAUUGCCACAUACUAAUACUCCAUACCU
rnacentral:lncRNA from 1 species